rnacentral:rRNA from 1 species
UACGGGGGGGGCAAGCGUUGUUCGGAAUUACUGGGCGUAAAGGGCUCGUAGGCGGCCAACUAAGUCAGACGUGAAAUCCCUCGGCUUAACCGGGGAACUGCGUCUGAUACUGGAUGGCUUGAGUUUGGGAGAGGGAUGCGGAAUUCCAGGUGUAGCGGUGAAGUGCGCAGAUAUCGGGAGGAACACCGGUGGCGAAGGCGGUUCUCUGGGCCUGACCUGACGCUGAGGAGCGAAAGCGUGGGGAGCGAACAGG